UACGGGGGGGGCAAGCGUUGUUCGGAAUUACUGGGCGUAAAGGGCGCGUAGGCGGCCUUCUAAGUCGGACGUGAAAUCCCUCGGCUCAACCGGGGAACUGCGUCCGAUACUGGAGGGCUUGAAUCCGGGAGAGGGAUGUGGAAUUCCAGGUGUAGCGGUGAAAUGCGUAGAUAUCUGGAGGAACACCGGUGGCGAAGGCGGCAUCCUGGACCGGCAUUGACGCUGAGGCGCGAAAGCCAGGGGAGCAAACGGG
rnacentral:rRNA from 1 species